rnacentral:rRNA from 1 species
GGCGUGCCUAACACAUGCAAGUUGAGCGAUUUACUUCGGUAAAGAGCGGCGGACGGGUGAGUAACGCGUGGGUAACCUACCCUGUACACACGGAUAACAUACCGAAAGGGAUGCUAAUACGGGAUAAUAUAUUUGAGAGGCAUCUCUUAAAUAUCAAAGGUGAGCCAGUACAGGAUGGACCCGCGUCUGAUUAGCUAGUUGGUAAGGUAACGGCUUACCAAGGCGACGAUCAGUAGC